AAACCAUGAUGAGGAUAAAGGCGUUGUAGAUCCUUGAAUCUUUCCCAAGCUUCAUACAAUGACUCGCCAGGAUCUUGGAUGAAGGUCACUAUCACAUGACGCAUAUU
rfam:Beta vulgaris subsp. vulgaris 0197.scaffold00555.con0011.1, whole genome shotgun sequence.